AUGUUCCUGGAUUCUGCCAUAGCUAGAAAAUACUCCUCUGGAAAGACUAAAACAACUCAGCUUCUUAAAGGUGCCAUUGCCCCAGAGCUUGCUGAUGAGGUCAAAAAAAUCUGCCAGACCCAGCCAUUUGGAUUACUUUGUGAUGAGUCAAACAACAUGCAGACAGAAAAAGAACUAGUUAUACUGGCAAGAGUGUAUGAUGAGAACAGUCUUGAGGUUGUGACCAAAUUUAUUGACAUGCCAGUCUGCAAUGUGGGUACAGCAGAAAAUAUUUAUGAGAAGCUGGAAACCUCUUUGAGAAAUGGAGGAAUCCCAUGGGAUGACCUGGUGGCCUUCAACUCUGACAACUGCAGCGUGAUGAAAGGAAAGCACCAUUCAGUCAUCACCAAACUAAGAGCUAGUCAACCUUAUGUUCAGGAUGUGGGUUACAUAUGCCACCUUGCUCAACUUGUCACAGGCUGUGGCAUUAAGGCCAUCAAGGCCCCAGUGGAGGAUUUAUUGGGUGGUGUGGACAGAUUCUGGGGCCUUUUAGGGAAAAGUGAGACUGAGACCAGGUUUAGUCAGUUGGCUAGUCUGAUUAAGGCACUACUUUGCAUUCCUCAUAGUAAUGCCUCCUCAGAGAGAACCUUUAGCAUGGUCUGAAAGAUUGUGAUGCAAAAUCAACUGCACAAAACCUGCACACAAGUACACUCCCUCCAGACGGGUACUUAGCAAAGUCUGCUACUUACAAUUAUAAUUCUGGAUGUAAGAAACACUAGUAACACCUUCAUGUUAAAUACAUGAAGUACUGUACUUCAUAUAUUUAUCAUGAAGGUGUUUCCAUUUACUUUAAGUACAUGACAUUUUUUGUUAAAUGUUCCACAUGCACCACAGUGUUUCUUUUUAUGUAAUAUAAAAUUUGUUAUAAUAAAGAAAAAAGAAACAUGAAUAAGUCUCCUUAU
ensembl:lncRNA